rnacentral:rRNA from 1 species
CAGUCGCCGCGGUAAAACGAAGGGUGCAAGCGUUAAUCGGAAUUACUGGGCGUAAAGCGUGCGUAGGCGGUGAGUUAAGUCUGCUGUGAAAUCCCCGGGCUCAACAUGGGAAUGGCAGUGGAUACUGGCUCGCUAGAGUGUGUCAGAGGAUGGUGGAAUUCCCGGUGUAGCGGUGAAAUGCGUAGAGAUCGGGAGGAACAUCAGUGGCGGAGGCGGCCAUCUGGGACAACACUGACGCUGAGGCACGAAAGCGUGGGGAGCAAACAGGAUUAGAUACCCGCGUAGUCCCUGUCUCUUAUAC